rnacentral:rRNA from 1 species
GUGGGGAAUUUUGGACAAUGGGGGCAACCCUGAUCCAGCCAUGCCGCGUGCGGGAAGAAGGCCUUCGGGUUGUAAACCGCUUUUGUCAGGGAAGAAAUCCUUUGGGUUAAUACCUCGGAGGGAUGACGGUACCUGAAGAAUAAGCACCGGCUAACUACGUGCCAGCAGCCGCGGUAAUACGUAGGGUGCGAGCGUUAAUCGGAAUUACUGGGCGUAAAGCGUGCGCAGGCGGUUUUGUAAGAUCGAUGUGAAAUCCCCGGGCUCAGCCUGGGAACUGCAUUGGUGACUGCAAGGCUGGAGUGUGGCAGAGGGGGAUGGAAUUCCGCGUGUAGCAGUGAAAUGCGUAGAUAUGCGGAGGAACACCGAUGGCGAAGGCAAUCCCCUGGGCCUGCACUGACGCUCAUGCACGAAAGCGUGGGGAGCAAACAGGAUUAGAUACCCUUGUAGUCC